UGAGCUUGAUCCUGGCUCAGAUUGAACGCUGGCGGCAUGCCUUACACAUGCAAGUCGAACGGCAGCGCGGGGCAACCUGGCGGCGAGUGGCGAACGGGUGAGUAAUAUAUCGGAACGUACCCUGGAGUGGGGGAUAACGUAGCGAAAGUUACGCUAAUACCGCAUACGAUCUAAGGAUGAAAGUGGGGGAUCGCAAGACCUCAUGCUCCUGGAGCGGCCGAUAUCUGAUUAGCUAGUUGGUGGGGUAAAGGCCUACCAAGGCAUCGAUCAGUAGCUGGUCUGAGAGGACGACCAGCCACACUGGAACUGAGACACGGUCCAGACUCCUACGGGAGGCAGCAGUGGGGAAUUUUGGACAAUGGGCGAAAGCCUGAUCCAGCAAUGCCGCGUGAGUGAAGAAGGCCUUCGGGUUGUAAAGCUCUUUUGUCAGGGAAGAAACGGUGAGGGCUAAUAUCCCUUGCUAAUGACGGUACCUG
rnacentral:rRNA from 1 species